rnacentral:rRNA from 1 species
UACGGAGGGUCCAAGCGUUAUCCGGAUUUAUUGGGUUUAAAGGGUGCGCAGGCGGUUCGUUAAGUUAGAGGUGAAAUCCCGUGGCUCAACCACGGAACUGCCUCUGAUACUGGCGGGCUAGAGAGAGGUUGCUGUGGGCGGAAUGUGUGGUGUAGCGGUGAAAUGCUUAGAGAUCACACAGAACACCGAUUGCGAAGGCAGCUCACAAAGCCUCAUCUGACGCUCAUGCACGAAAGCGUGGGGAGCAAACAGGAUUA